rnacentral:rRNA from 1 species
UACGGGGGGGGGCAAGCGUUGUUCGGAAUUACUGGGCGUAAAGGGCUCGUAGGCGGCCAACUAAGUCGGACGUGAAAUCCCCCAGGCUCAACCUGGGAACUGCGUCUGAUACUGGAUGGCUUGAAUCCGGGAGAGGGAUGCAGAAUUCCAGGUGUAGCGGUGAAAUGCGUAGAUAUCUGGAGGAAUACCGGUGGCGAAGGCGGCAUCCUGGACCGGCAUUGACGCUGAGGAGCGAAAGCCAGGGGAGCAAAGCGGG